rnacentral:rRNA from 2 species
UGGGCGUAAGCGCGCGCAGGCGGUUUCUUAAGUCUGAUGUGAAAGCCCACGGCUCUACCGUGGAGGGUCAUUGGAAACUGGGGAACUUGAGUGCAGAAGAGAAAAGCGGAAUUCCACGUGUAGCGGUGAAAUGCGUAGAGAUGUGGAGGAACACCAGUGGCGAAGGCGGCUUUUUGGUCUGUAACUGACGCUGAGGCGCGAAAGCGUGGGGAGCAAACAGGAUUAGAUACCCUGGUAGUCCACGCCGUAAACGAUGAGUGCUAAGUGUUAGAGGGUUUCCGCCCUUUAGUGCUGCAGCUAACGCAUUAAGCACUCCGCCUGGGGAGUACGGUCGCAAGACUGAAACUCAAAGGAAUUGACGGGGGCCCGCACAAGCGGUGGAGCAUGUGGUUUAUUUCUAAGCAACGCGAAGAACCUUACCAGGUCUUGACGUGGGCUGACAACUCUACAGAUAGAGCGUUCCCCUUCGGGGGACAGAGUGACAGGUGGUGCAUGGUUGU